rnacentral:misc_RNA from 1 species
GAAAUGCGAUAAGUAGUGUGAAUUGCAGAAUUUAGCGAAUCAUCGAAUCUUUGAACGCACAUUGCGCCCCUUGGUAUUCCAUGGGGCACGCCUGUUCGAGCGUCAUUUCAACCCUCAAGCACUGCUUGGUGUUGGGCGUUUGUCCCGCCUACGCGCGUGGACUCGCCUCAAAGUCAUUGGCAGCUGUUCCCCUUCGGCUCGUAAGCGCAGCACAGUCGGCGCCCGGAGCUCUGGUGGGAUGGCGUCCAGCAAGCUAUAUUUUCAGGCUUGACCUCGGAUCAGGUAGGGAUACCCGCUGAACUUAAGC